AUGUACAUUCCCACAAUGUUAUUGCACUGUAUCCCAUCUGAACUCUGCAUUUAAGCACACUUGAGCUAGAUUACUACUAGGAUGGAUGACCUCCUAAGAAUUCCUAGCAUUUUACAUG
rnacentral:rRNA from 1 species